rnacentral:rRNA from 1 species
UCAGAUUGAACGCUGGCGGCGUGCUUAACACAUGCAAGUCGAACGCGAAAGGGACUUCGGUCCUGAGUAAAGUGGCGCACGGGUGAGUAACGCGUGGAUAAUCUGCCCUUAUGAUCGGGAUAACAGUUGGAAACGGCUGCUAAUACCGGAUACGCUCAAAAUGAACUUUUUGAGGAAAGAUGGCCUCUGCUUGCAUGCUAUCACGUAAGGAUGAGUCCGCGUCCCAUUAGCUUGUUGGCGGGGUAACGGCCCACCAAGGCAACGAUGGGUAGCCGAUUUGAGAGGAUGAUCGGCCACACUGGAACUGAAACACGGUCCAGACUCCUACGGGAGGCAGCAGUGGGGAAUAUUGCGCAAUGGGCGAAAGCCUGACGCAGCGACGCCGCGUGAGGGAUUGAAGGUUUUCGGAUCGUAAACCUCUGUCAGAAGGGAAGAAACUACGUUGUGCUAAUCAGCAGCGUACUGACGGUACCUUCAAAGGAAGCACCGGCUAACUCCGUGCCAGCCGCUGC